rnacentral:rRNA from 1 species
CCUACGGGUGGCUGCAGUGAGGAAUAUUGGUCAAUGGGCGCAAGCCUGAACCAGCCAUCCCGCGUGCAGGAAGACGGCCCUAUGGGUUGUAAACUGCUUUUCCAGGGGGAGAAACUUGCGCACGUGUUGCGCAAUUGACGGUACCCUGGGAAUAAGCAUCGGCUAACUCCGUGCCAGCAGCCGCGGUAAUACGGAGGAUGCGAGCUUAUUCCGGUUACAGUGGGCGUAAGCGGUGCGUUAACGGAGUGGUGAAAUCCUGCAGCUUAACUGCAGAACUGCCAUUGAUACUGAUAGCCUUGAGUUUGGUUAAGGUAGGCGGAAUGUGUAAUGUAGCGGUGAAAUGCUUAGAUAUUACACAGAACACCAAUUGCGUAGGCAGCUUACUGAGCCGACACUGACGCUGAGGCACGAAAGCGUGGGGAUCGAACAGGAUUAGAUACCCUUGUAGUC